GUGGGGAAUAUUGCACAAUGGGCGAAAGCCUGAUGCAGCGACGCCGCGUGAAGGAAGAAGUAUCUCGGUAUGUAAACUUCUAUCAGCAGGGAAGAUAAUGACGGUACCUGACUAAGAAGCACCGGCUAAAUACGUGCCAGCAGCCGCGGUAAUACGUAUGGUGCAAGCGUUAUCCGGAUUUACUGGGUGUAAAGGGAGCGCAGGCGGAAGGCUAAGUCUGAUGUGAAAGCCCGGGGCUCAACCCCGGUACUGCAUUGGAAACUGGUCAUCUAGAGUGUCGGAGGGGUAAGUGGAAUUCCUAGUGUAGCGGUGAAAUGCGUAGAUAUUAGGAGGAACACCAGUGGCGAAGGCGGCUUACUGGACGAUAACUGACGCUGAGGCUCGAAAGCGUGGGGAGCAAACAGGAUUAGAAACCCUGGUAGUCC
rnacentral:rRNA from 1 species